rnacentral:rRNA from 1 species
CUACGGGUUGCUGCAGUGAGGAAUAUUGCACAAUGGAGGAAACUCUGAUGCAGCAACGCCGCGUGGAGGAUGACGCAUUUCGGUGUGUAAACUCCUUUUAUGAGUCAAGAAAAUGACGGUAGCUCAUGAAUAAGCACCGGCUAACUCCGUGCCAGCAGCCGCGGUAAUACGGAGGGUGCAAGCGUUACUCGGAAUCACUGGGCGUAAAGGACGCGUAGGCGGGAUAUCAAGUCAGGUGUGAAAUCCUACAGCUUAACUGUAGAACUGCACUUGAAACUGGUAACCUAGAGUAUGGGAGGGGGAGAUGGAAUUAGUGGUGUAGGGGUAAAAUCCGUAGAUAUCACUAGGAAUACCUAAAGCGAAGGCGAUCUCCUGGAACAUAACUGACGCUAAGGCGUGAAAGCGUGGGGAGCAAACAGGAUUAGAUACCCUAGUAGUC